UACGAAGGGGACUAGCGUUGUUCGGAUUUACUGGGCGUAAAGCGCGCGUAGGCGGAUCGCUAAGUCAGGGGUGAAAUCCCAGGGCUCAACCCUGGAACUGCCUUUGAUACUGACGGUCUGGAGAUCGGGAGUGGUUGGUGGAAUUCCGAGUGUAGAGGUGAAAUGCGUAGAUAUCAAGAGGAACACCUGAGGUGAAGACGGGUUGCUGGGCUGACACUGACGCUGAGGCGCGAAAGCCAGGGGAGCAAACGGG
rnacentral:rRNA from 1 species